GACGAACGCUGGCGGCGUGCUUAACACAUGCAAGUCGAACGGAGUGGCUAACGGGCGAGUAACACAUGUGUGACCUGCCCUGCACUUCCGGAUAAGCCUGGGAAACUGGGUCUAAUACUGGCUCGAGUGGGAUGGGCGCGGGGCCUAUCAGCUUGUUGGUGGGGUGAGGUCCUAGCAAGGCGGCGACGGGUAGCCGGACUGGGAGGGUGGACGGGCACAUAGGGACUGGGAAACGGCCAGGAGGCAAACGGGAGCAAGGAGUGGGAAAUAUUGCAAGAUGGGCGGAGGGCUGGUGGAGGGACGCCGGGUGGGGGAGGACGGCCGUCGGGGUGGAAACGCCUUUCACCAUCGACGGGGAAGAGGGGAAAGAAGCACCGGCUAACUACGGGCAAGCAGCCGGGGAAAAU
rnacentral:rRNA from 1 species